GCCUAACAGCUAGUCCACCCAACCAACAACAAACUACGCAACCCUAUUAAUACCCCCUAAUAACGCACACAACAAUGCUAAACAAAACAUUUUUCCCCUUUAGUAUAGGCGAUAGAAAAAGAUACCCGGAACAACAGAGAGAGUACCGCAAGGGAAAGCUGAAAGACACGUGAAAUAGUAUCACAAGCCUAAAAAAGCAGAGAUUUAAACUCGUCUU
rnacentral:rRNA from 1 species